CCUACGGGUGGCAGCAGUCGAGAAUCUUUCACAAUGGGGGAAACCCUGAUGGUGCGACGCCGCGUGGGGGAAUGAAGGUCUUCGGAUUGUAAACCCCUGUCAUGUGGGAGCAAAUUAAAAAGUUAGUACCACAAGAGGAAGAUACGGCUAAAUCUGUGUCAGCAGCCGCGGGAAUACAGAGGUCUCAAGCGUGGUUCGGAAGCACUGGGCGUAAAGCGGGCGUAGGCGGUUUCGUAAGUCGGGUGUGAAAGGCGAGGGCUCAACCCGAGGACGGCACAUGAUACUGCGAGACUAGAGUAAUGGAGGGGGAACCGGAAUUCUUGGUGUAGGAGUGAAAUGCGUAGAUAUCGAGAGGAACACUCGUGGCGAAGGCGGGUUGCUGGACAUUAACUGACGCUGAGGCACGAAGGCGAGGGGAGCGAAAGGGAUUAGAUACCCCAGUAGUC
rnacentral:rRNA from 1 species